rnacentral:rRNA from 1 species
GACGAACGCUGGCGGCGUCCUUAACACAUGCAAGUCGAACAAAGUGGCGAACGGGUGAGUAACGCGUAAUCAACCUGCCCUUCAGAGGGGGACAACAGUUGGAAACGACUGCUAAUACCGCAUACUGACGGCGGGGAUUGCGUCUGAUUAGCUAGUUGGAGGGGUAACGGCCCACCAAGGCGCGGAACAGUAUCCUGUCUGAGAGAAUGAACGGCCACAUUGGAACUAGGACACGGCCCAGACUUGUACGGGAGGCAGCAGUGGGGACUCUACCGCAAUGGACGAAAGUCUGACGGAGCAACGCCGCGUGAGUGAUGACGGCCUUCGGAUUGUAAAGCUCGAUUGAUCGCGACGAGGAUCCGGAAUAGAGAGCCACGGCUAACUACGUGCCAGCAGCCGCGGUAAUAC